CGAUGGUAUCAGCACCCGGCAGAGCUGGAGGUGAGAGAUAGAAGCGUGCUAAAAACGCUGGGCAAAGAGCACACAGAGAGCAAGCUCAUCAUCAGUAUCCAACAACAGCUCUGCGCUCUGCUGGACUGGCUGUUUUCCCUCAAUGUGAGCCGGGUGAGACAUCAACAUCAGGCUACCGGGGAAAUAAACACGGCAACUCGAAACUGUUGAAGCCAUCAUAUUCAUUCAUCCAGAACACCUGUGCAGUUCAACAUCGGAGGAGUUUCUCAUUGCCUCGUCUCUCCAAGAAACGUUGAGGCACUGGAUUAAAGACGCCAGCCGUUUGCUGCGGUCAAUUGAAAGUGUUCCAUAGCGUAUUUUUUGCAGUUAGUUUACCUUUACCUUAAUUCUAUGAUUCAUUUUUUUAUUAUUGUAUACAUGCUGCAUAUUUUAUUUUUAUUUUUGUUCUUGGUUACAAUUUUUGUCUUUAAAGGCAUCUAAUAAACUCGAACAACUAUGACCGAAAUGAUUUUGUUUGUCUUUUUUUAAUUUGUGGGGA
ensembl:lncRNA